CGGCAACAGCUCAAAUUUGAAAUCUGCCCGCAAGGGCCGAGUUGUAAUUUGUAGAGGAUACUUUUGAUGCGGUGCCUUCCGAGUUCCCUGGAACGGGACGCCAUAGAGGGUGAGAGCCCCGUCUGGUUGGAUGCCAAAUCUCUGUAAAGUUCCUUCGAC
rnacentral:rRNA from 1 species